rnacentral:rRNA from 1 species
AGAGUUUGAUCCUGGCUCAGGAUGAACGCUAGCGAUAGGCCUAACACAUGCAAGUCGAGGGGCAGCGAUGGUAGCAAUACCAGUCGGCGACCGGCGGAUGGGUGAGUAACACGUAUGCAACCUGCCUCCAACAUUGGAAUAACCCGUUGAAAGACGGACUAAUGCCUUAUAACACAGGGGCGCCGCAUGGCGAUAUUUGUUAAAGAUUUUAUCGGUUGAAGAUGGGCAUGCGCAUGAUUAGUUAGUCGGUAAGGUAACGGCUUACCAAGACAACGAUCAUUAGGGGUUCUGAGAGGAAGGUCCCCCACACUGGUACUGAGACACGGACCAGACUCCUACGGGAGGCAGCAGUGAGGAAUAUUGGUCAAUGAGCGAGAGCUUGAAUCAGCCACGUCGCGUGCAGGAAGAAUGUCUUAUGGAUUGUAAACUGCUUUUUCGGUAGAGUAAUGUGCGUCACGUGUGACGUAUUGCAAGUAUACCGAGAAUAAGGAUCGGCUAACUCCGUGCCAGCAGCCGCGGUAAUACGGAGGAUCCGAGCGUUAUCCGGAUUUAUUGGGUUUAAAGGGUACGUAGGCGGGAUGAUAAGUCAGCGGUGAAAUUUUGCAGCUUAACUGUAAGCUUGCCGUUGAAACUAUUAUUCUUGAGUGUAGAUAAGGUAGGCGGAAUGUGUUGUGUAGCGGUGAAAUGCUUAGAUAUAACACAGAACACCAAUUGCGAAGGCAGCUUACCGGGUUACCACUGACGCUGAGGUACGACAGCGUGGGGAUCAAACAGGAUUAGAUACCCUGGUAGUCCACGCCGUAAACGAUGAAUACUCGCUGUUUGUGAUAUAGUGCAAGCGGCCAAGCGAAAGCAAUAAGUAUUCCACCUGGGGAGUACGUUCGCAAGAAAGAAAUUCAAAGGAAUUGACGGGGGCCCGCACAAGCGGAGGAACAUGUGGUUUAAUUCGAUGAUACGCGAGGAACCUUACCUGGGCGUAAAUGUAUAGUGCAUAAUAUGGAAACAUAUUUUUCCUUCGGGACUCUUUACAAGGUGCUGCAUGGUUGUCGUCAGCUCGUGCCGUGAGGUGUCGGGUUAAGUCCCAUAACGAGCGCAACCCUCAUCGCCAGUUGCCAGCACGUAAUGAUGGGGAGUCUGGUGAAACUGCCGGUGUAAACCGUGAGGAAGGUGGGGAGGACGUCAAAUCAGCACGGCCCUUAUGUCCAGGGCUACACACGUGUUACAAUGGCCAAUACAAAGGGCAGCCACCCGGCGACGGGGGGGUAAUCCAUAAAGAUGGUCUUAGUUCGGAUCGGAGUGUGCAACUCGACUCCGCGAAGCUGGAUUCGCUAGUAAUCGUAGAUCAGCCAUGCU